GGGGAAUAUUGCACAAUGGGCGCAAGCCUGAUGCAGCCAUGCCGCGUGUGUGAAGAAGGCCUUCGGGUUGUAAAGCACUUUCAGCGGGGAGGAAGGCGAUAAGGUUAAUAACCUUGUCGAUUGACGUUACCCGCAGAAGAAGCACCGGCUAACUCCGUGCCAGCAGCCGCGGUAAUACGGAGGGUGCAAGCGUUAAUCGGAAUUACUGGGCGUAAAGCGCACGCAGGCGGUCUGUCAAGUCGGAUGUGAAAUCCCCGGGCUCAACCUGGGAACUGCAUUCGAAACUGGCAGGCUUGAGUCUUGUAGAGGGGGGUAGAAUUCCAGGUGUAGCGGUGAAAUGCGUAGAGAUCUGGAGGAAUACCGGUGGCGAAGGCGGCUUUCUGGACUGUAACUGACGCUGAGGCAUGAAAGCGUGGGGAGCAAAC
rnacentral:rRNA from 1 species